CUAAUUUUUAAUAUACUUGUGCAAUUUCGCUAACAGGCAUAUUAUUAUUUAAAUAUGCAAUGCCUUCCUAUGCCAUGUCGCCAAAACAAACAAUAGAAAUAAGAGUUUUUUUUUCUUUUUUUGUGUCAUCCUUGUUUUGGUGUAUCUGUCAUGGCUAUUGAUGAUAUCAUACAUGUAUUAUGUUAUUUACUAUUCAUGUUGUUUAAAUUAAAUGUCCAUGCAUGUACAAUCCUUACUGAAAUAAAUCUAUCUAUCUAUGACUGAGUAAUAAAAGUGCAUUAGAUAAAACCGUAAAGACAAGGAAAAUGAUGCAAACAUUUAGAAAAAUAACAAAACAAAAGGAAAAUUAGAACCAACAAAAUAUGAGUUUCUACCCUAUCAAAUAACAUCAAUGACAAACAUGUAAUACCAUGUAUACAGGAUAAUAAAUGGUUGACCAUGACUUUUGGUCGAUAAUUGCUCCAGUAAGAAUUAUAAUUGCCCGAGGGCUUUGCCUGAUUAUAAUUAUGUGAUGCCAAUUGUAAUAUGUUUACAAACGCCUUGCUACGAGUGGACAUUUGAUUUAUACACCGGUAUUAACAUUAUGUUCGCAUGUGCAUUACUGCAUAACAUCUGUGUUUCAAAGUGGCUGUCUGAUGAAUAUAGUGCUGGUGACGGCGGCGAUGAUGAUAACGGUGAUGACAAUAUUUGUGAUAAUGCGAAUGUAAAUGGAUUACUGGAUUGGAAUCAGUUUGUGCUUGACAUUUUUGUUUUCUAGGAACUGAUAUUAGUUCUUGUGAUAGUGUCAUUUAGUUUGAGGGGAAGCUCUUAUCCAGCGGAAACAAAACCACCACAUUCACAACCACAUUCACUCGGCAAUGCAGAACUACCUGGAAGACCCGGGAGGAAAUGAUGAUGAACCAGCCAGAAAGCCCGCCUGCCACCCGGCCGAGCUGUACUUGGUGUAUGCCAACAUGCUGACAUGCUAAAAUUUGUUAGCACUUCAAGAUCAUAUAAUGGAAAAUUGUAUCCAAACUGAAGUAUAAACCAGCCUUGUUGCUGUAGCCACAGAGGAAUUUUCAAGGACAAGAACCCGAGUGCUGGUCAAAAUGUGGUCUCGUGUGGUUUUCCAUACCGACUCUCGGCAAGGAUUUCCGAGAAAGGAAUACCGUCUCCAAAUCAUGAUGUGCCAAUAAGCUCCAGUUAGCGGUGGCUUUUUCCCCCCCGGCGGUCGUCCUGCAAUCGGAAUCCAGGAGAUGCAGCUCUGAAUCCAAUAUUUCAGAAGAAUGAAGAUGUUAGUCAACUAUGUAGUACUUGUUUGUGUGUAAAUGAUUCCAAAGAGUGAGAUUUAUAGCAAAUCAGGUGUAAAUAAGCAUUUAGCAACUUAUAGACAAUGGUGAAGUGCUGUACUCUGAAUUUAAUGCCAAAUCUAGCCUUCAAAACAGAUACUUAAAGUAAUUUUUUUUUAAAAAAAUGGGCAUAAUAAUGCUAUCUCUGCAUGUUCUACAUCAUGUAGCCACCUCAUACAUGAAAACACUAGCAGUUGUCAUGAAUCUUUCAGUUUUGGUGUUUUUUUGCCAUUUCCUUUGUUGCGCCAUUUGUCCCAGAAGCAAACAAUUUGGCAUAUAGUGGUGUUUAGACUGUCUAUAAACACAUGAUCACUAAAUUUCUUGUGUUAAACUGAACAGUUCUGUUACCUUUGUAUAUAAGUGGACCAGAAAAGCAAUCUUUUGACAAGUUGAAGCAUUUCAGUUUGGCUCUAUGUCAUUUUUUAUAUAAAACACUUAUUAAAGCCGAUGAAGUGGAAAAACCUUAUUUUGCUUAGAAAAAAAAUCUUAAAAGAGUAGGCAGGCCAUUUUUUUGUGGUCUGUUCUAUAGACACUAUUGAAAGCUACAAGGAAAACUUUACUUGGUCAAAUUAUUCCAAUGCAUAAGGAAAUAAUGGCUCUUCAAAGGUUUGUGGCUUACCAUUUGAGGGAAAUUGCUGUUUCUGCUCUUUAUGAAAAUACCACAGGUGCUAAUACUUGUCUCAUUCAUUCAGUGUUUAAUAUAUCAUUGACAUACUUUCAGUAUCUGUUGCAUAUAGUUUUGAAGUCUGUUUCUGAAAAAAAUGUUGUUUAAAUAGGCUCAAGACCACAGUUAUCUGUCCCCGUUGACCAAGAUCCGGAUGUGAAUACAGGAAAAAGAGUGCUUGUGUUCAAGUAUCAAUAUUUUAUUUAAGUUGAAUGAAAGAGAAGAAACAGGUGGCCUUUUUGCAUAGAGCUUAACAUAAUUUGACACUGUAUUGCAAAAACUGAUAGUUUUCAGUGUAAAAAUUGGAAAAUUCAUUGCCUGUGGAACUAUGUAAAUUGGUUGUUUGUAGCCUUAUUCCGUCUUGACCUCAGGGUCAUGUAUUACUACUCAAUUUUGUGAGAAAACGCAAUGGUCAACCCUAUGUUUUCUUGAGAUUAAAUUUUGUGUCUUGGAUUGUUCUACAACAGCCAUGCAGUUACUUGUUUUUCAAUUGGGACUGUUUUAAAGUGAGAAGUCAGGUUAGUGUCUAAAUGAAACAUAUAGUAAAAAUAUCUGUGGUCUCACGCCACAUAGCACGUGCGUCUAAAAAUAGGCAUUUUUUGGUUUCCCCAAGUCUGAGGUGGUAAGCGCUUAUCAAAAUGUAUUGUGAAUCUGGUUACAACCGGUGUUCGCCUUAUUUCUAAACGACAUUGGCAACAAAAUGACAGCUAAUGUAAACAAACAAUAAUUAUAGAAUAUAUUAAAUUGAUUAAACUUGAAAGUUGUGUUAUGGUAAAAAUCUUAUAUAUGUAUAUAAAUGUAACUGUGUUCGGUAUAACAAAAUAA